UUCUAACAAGUUGCCAAUUGGAUACCUCCAGUGAUCCAGGGCUCACGUGUGGGGACCACUGCUCUGUGCUAAACAGCUUCCAGGCUGCUGAGCCUCUAAGGGAAGAGCAAACCUCAGCUGGAAGGUGUGUCCGGAGGACCUGGGCAUCAUGGUGCACACAUUGUUCACAGCUCUGUAGCCUGGAAGAACAGCGAGUUACAGGCUGAGCAUUGCCGCCUCUAGGUUUCCAACCAGGGAUCAUUCUCUUAUUGGAAUGAGACAUUGCCAUGAUGGCUGUCCAAACAACCUGGCACCUGUGGUCAAAGACAACUUCAGGGCAAAGAGCUGGCUAACACUCAGUGACUGCCUGAAUGCAGAGCUGACAAUGUUGCAAAUUCACCAUGGACCUCAACUCCCUUCCUUCCACUAUUCAGCUUUGCAUUUCCCUACAGUUCAUACCUUCCGAGUUCUAUGCUUCUGGGACAUUCCAGAUACAGCUGGUGGAGAGAAUGAAAAGGGAUUUACUGCCAGCAGCAGGACUGAUCUUUCAGAAAAGAAAUCUAGAAGGU
rnacentral:lncRNA from 1 species